AUUGGCUUAGAUUUGCAAGCGGCUGUUGUCUAUCAAGUUUAUCGCACAAUGUUAGCUCAAAAGUACCGCCCCGGAAGAGGCGGGCUUUGUGAAGAUGGCGGCGCCGGGUAGUCCCGAGGUGGUGGAGUCAGACCUGCCAAGUGCCGUCACACUUUUGAAAAACCUUCAGGAGCAGGUGAUGGCUGUAACUGCACAAAUACAAGCUCUAACCAAAAAAGUUCAAGCUAGAGCCUAUCCUACAGAGAAGGUAAGACAUAUUGGAAGAGUUAGCAUCCCCUGACUUGUUAUCCACAGUUCUUUCAUCAUAGGUUUGUUGAGUGUUUUCUGUGUCCUUAAGUUUAGAGCUUCAAAGAUGGAUAAGAUCCAGUUUCUGUGCUGAAGUCUAGUGGAGAAGACAGAUGAAAGCAAUAGGUAUGAGCAGUAGUAGUCACUUCACAGAGUCAUCAUGAGUGCUGUGCAAGCCCGGGAGAGAGACUGAAUAAUUGCCAGAGAGCAGAGGAAGUCAGGGAAGGCUUCCCAGAGGAGAAGGAUUUUGAGGAAUAAAUAAGAGUCCAGGGAACAGAAGGAAACAGCAUGUACAAAGCCACAGAGACCUGAAAGCAUGGUAAUAUACUGGGAAAGGAGGUCAUUUAGUGUGGUUGGAUAUACAGUGUGUUGGGGGGUGGGAUGGGGAGUAGGAAAUAAGACUAGAAAAGUAGUCACUCUGUGAAGAGCCUUGUAGGCCAACUGAGGAGUUACUACUGUAUUUCAUCUAAUCUAAGAUCCUGUUAACCGGGCACAUACCACUUACUUCGUAUACUAAAAAAAUGCUGCUUGUUAAUCAAUGAUACAAGGUUAAGAUGCCAUUGAUUAAAAGAUACAUCCUGUCUUCAGAGGUGUUAAAAUAUGAAAACAAUGUGCAUAUUAAAAUUGAAAUAUGGUAGGGCGCCUAGGUGGCUCAGUCGGUUAAGUGUCUGUCUUUGGCUCAGGUCAUGAUCCUGGGGAC